rnacentral:rRNA from 1 species
UGGGGAAUUUUGCGCAAUGGGCGAAAGCCUGACGCAGCAACGCCGCGUGUGUGAUGAAGGUCUUCGGAUUGUAAAGCACUUUCGACCGGGACGAAAACCCUCUGGCUAACAUCCAGGGGCUUGACGGUACCGGGAGAAGAAGCACCGGCUAACUCUGUGCCAGCAGCCGCGGUAAUACAGAGGGUGCAAGCGUUGUUCGGAAUUAUUGGGCGUAAAGCGCGUGUAGGCGGCUUUGCAAGUCGGGUGUGAAAGCCCUCAGCUCAACUGAGGAAGUGCGCCCGAAACUGCAGAGCUUGAGUACCGGAGAGGGUGGCGGAAUUCCCCAAGUAGAGGUGAAAUUCGUAGAUAUGGGGAGGAACACCGGUGGCGAAGGCGGCCACCUGGACGGUCACUGACGCUGAGACGCGAAAGCGUGGGGAGCAAACA